GACUCUUUAAACGGCCGCGGUAUCCUAACCGUGCAAAAAGGUAGCAUAAUCACUUGUCCCCUAAAUAGGGACUAGAAUGAACGGCUAAAUGAGGACUAAACUGUCUCCUGAAUUCAACCAAUGAAACUGAUCUUUCAGUCCAAAAGCUGAAAUAUAAACAUAAGACGAGAAGACCCUGUGGAGCUUAUAAACCCAACCCAUUAAAAUGUCUACCUGGGUUUUUGGUUGGGGCGACCUCGGAGAACAAAAUAUCCUCCGACCAAGGAACCUACGUUCCAAAACAAGAUAAACAAAUCAAAAUCAUUGACCCAGUGGCUAACACCAACUGAUCAACGAACCAAGUUACCCCAGGGAUAACAGCGCCAUCCUCUUUUAGAGUCCAUAUCGACAAGAGGGCUUACGACCUCGAUGUUGGAUCAGGACAUCCCAAUAGUGCAGCAGCUAUUAAAGGUUCGUUUGUUCAACGAUUAAUAGUCCU
rnacentral:rRNA from 1 species